rnacentral:rRNA from 1 species
GCAUAACGCGAAGAACCUUACCUAGGCUUGAACUCCUACGAAUCCGGGGUAAGUGCCUGGAGUGUCCGCAAGGAAAUGUAGUGAGAGGUGCUGCAUGGCUGUCGUCAGCUCGUGUUGUGAAAUGUUGGGUUAAGUCUCGCAACGAGCGCAACCCCUAUCGUCUGUUGCCAGCAUUAAGUUGGGCACUCUGACGAGACUGCCUGGGUUAACCAGGAGGAAGGUGGGGAUGACGUCAAGUCCUCAUGGCCCUUAUGUCUAGGGCUACACACGUAAUACAAUGGCGCGUACAAAGGGAAGCGAACUCGCAAGGGGAAGCAAAUCUCAAAAAGCGCGCCUCAGUUCGGAUUGGAGUCUGCAACUCGACUCCAUGAAGUUGGAAUCGCUAGUAAUCGGAGAUCAGCACGCUCCGGUGAAUACGUUCCCGGGUCUUGUACACACCG